CUAUAGAUGAUAAACACCUGGAAACAAUAUACCUGGGACUCCUGAUACAGGAAGGCCACUUCUUCUGCAGAGCCCUGUGCUCUGUGACUCCACCAGCUGAGAAGGAAGGGGAAUGCUUGACACUUUGCAAGAAUGAGUUAAUCUCAGUGAAGAUGGCAGAAGCAGGGUCCGAGUUGGAAGGCAUGUCUUUGGUGACAGGUGGUUCCUAAAGAAUUAUCCAGGAAGCUGUGGCCUUUCCAGGAAGAGGGAUUGGACAGGCUCCUAUCAGAUUGGCAGAGGACGCUGUAAGGCCUUGAAGGGUUAUGAGCCAGGAGAAAAGGAUGAACUGAGUUUCUACCAGGGAGAAAGCAUUGAGAUCAUUGGCUUUGUCAUACCUGGGCUUCAGUGGUUCAUUGGAAAGUCGACGAGUUCAGGUCAAGUGGGCUUUGUCCCCACCAGGAACAUAGAUCCUGAUUCUUAUUCCCCAAUGAGCAGGAACUCUGCCUUUCUCAGUGAUGAGGAGAGAUGUUCCCUGUUGGCCCUGGGAAGUGAUAAGCAGACUGAGUGUUCCAGCUUUCUCCACACUCUUGC
rnacentral:sRNA from 1 species